rnacentral:lncRNA from 1 species
GUGGGACCUGGUGAUGGGAUCUGGUAUCAGGAUCUGGUAUUGUGACCUGGCAGGAUCCAGUGAGAUCCCAAGGCGAGGCUUUCCCGCCCUGCCAGGUGGAUUUCAUCUGGAUCACGCGGGACCAGCAGCACCUGCAGUGGUUCCUGGGCCUCCUGGCCAAGCUGGAGGCGGAGCAGGCGGAGCUGGAGGCGGGAGGUGAGCGGGAGAGCCCGGCAUCAUUCCCGGGAGCACCCCCAGCCCANUUUUCCAUCCCCAGGAUCUGCUUCCCACCCUUGGGAUAUGUUUCCCAUCCCUGGAAUAUUUCCCACCCUCAGGAUCCGUUUCCCACCCCUGGAAUCUGUUUCCCACCCUCAGGAUCUGUUUCCCACCCUUGGGAUUUCUUUUCCCACCCCUGGGAUCUGUUUCCCAUCCCUGGAAUAUUUCCCACCCUCAGGAUCCGUUUCCCACCCUUGGGAUUUCUUUUCCCACCCCUGGGAUCUGUUUCCCAUCCCUGGAAUGUUUCCCAACCCCAGGAUCUGUUUUCCAUGCCCACAGUGACGUUUUUCCAGCUCGGAUGGGGCUUGGAGCGAGCCGGGCUAUGGGAGGCGGUUCCAUGGGAUGAGUUGGGUUUGAAGUUCUUCCCAAUCCAGAGAAUUCCAGGAUUUUGGGAUUGAUCCCCACAGAAACCCUCUGGCUGCACAUCCGGGCGCGGGGCCAAUGGACCACCAAGCUCUACGAGUACUUCCAGCAGCUGGAAUUGCACGGCCCGGAGCCGAAUCCACUCGGGAAGAGCCGCAGGGAGCGGAGGAGCCGGCACUGGGAACAGGAAGGAUCUGUGGCCUCGGGCAGGGAUGGAGCCGUGGAGCUGACGGCGUUCCGAGCCUCCGGAGCUGCUUUCCCGGGAAAGGACCCGGAGCAGGGGGACACCGGGCCUGGGGAGAGCCAGCGGAGCUGCAGCGUCAAGGUGAGGAUGUUCCCACCUUUCCUGCAUCCUGGGAAAUGGGCUGGGAUCAGCGUUCCCACCAUCCCAUCCACGUUCCUGCCAUCCCAUCCCCAUUCCCAGCUGCUCCACCCCUGGAUCCCUGUGCCUGGAUGAUCCCACCUGAGGCUGAUCCAAACCCUGCCCUGCUGAAAAUCUCCAGUCCUUCCCACUCAUUCCUUGCUCCCACAAAACCCUGGGAAGAUCCCAAAUUCCAGGAUCCCCUUUGUGCCUUUCUCCUCCACCCGGGAGCUGCUCCAGCCCCUGGAAGGGCUGGAUCUGACCCUGGAAGUGCUGGAUCUGUCCCAGUGCUUCCUGGACGGUCCCUACGGAACGCCGAGCCGGCGGAUCUUCACCUCGGAGCACGCCGUUCUCAUCGGGGCCGGCAUCGGGAUCACCCCCUUCGCCUCCAUCCUGCAGAGCAUCAUGAUCCGGUGGGUCCCCAGGGAUUUGGGAACUCCCCAGGGAUUUGGGAUGCCUGGGUGGAGCUGUCAUCCAACCCUUGAUCCUUGGGAUUCUGUCCUUGGGAUUCAUUCCCACGGGCACAGGUGCGGCCUCUCCUGGUGCCAGGAUUCUCCUUGGGGAUUUGGGCUGGGGGAAAGGCGCUGGAGGGAGAU